rnacentral:rRNA from 1 species
UACGUAGGGUGCGAGCGUUAAUCGGAAUUACUGGGCGUAAAGUGUGCGCAGGCGGCAGAGCAAGUCGAGUGUGAAAGCCCCGGGCUUAACUUGGGAAUUGCGCUCGAAACUACUUGCUGGAGUGUGGCAGAGGAAGGUGGAAUUCCACGUGUAGCGGUGAAAUGCGUAGAGAUGUGGAGGAACACCAGUGGCGAAGGCGGACGUCUUUGGCCGUGUAAAUCG